GGAUCCGUGGCUUAAUUGGUUAAAGCGCCUGUCUAGUAAACAGGAGAUAGUGGGUUCGAAUCUCGCCGGGGCCU
rfam:Glossina brevipalpis unplaced genomic scaffold Scaffold9, whole genome shotgun sequence.